rnacentral:rRNA from 1 species
UACGUAGGGGGCGAGCGUUGUCCGGAAUGACUGGGCGUAAAGGGCGCGUAGACGGUUGUCUAAGUCUGGAGUGAAAGUCCUGCUUUCAAGGUGGGAAUUGCUUUGGAGACUGAAUGACUUGAGUGCGGAAGAGGUAAGUGGAAUUCCCAGUGUAGCGGUGAAAUGCGUAGAGAUUGGGAGGAACACCAGUGGCGAAGGCGACUUACUGGGCCGUAACUGACGUUGAUGCGCGAAAGCGUGGGGAGCGAACAGGAUUAGAUACCCUGGUAGUCCACGCGGUAAACGAUGAGUGCUAGGUGUAGCGGGUAUCGACCCCUGCUGUGCCGGAGUUAACACAAUAAGCACUCCGCCUGGGGAGUACGGCCGCAAGGUUGAA